rnacentral:misc_RNA from 1 species
CAAAAUUUAAGCCAUGCAUGU